rnacentral:rRNA from 1 species
GUCCUCUUGAAUUUAAUAUGAGGUCUAACCUGCCCACUGAAUUUUUUGAAGGGCCGCAGUAAUUUGACUGUGCAAAGGUAGCAUAAUCAUUAGUUUUUUAAUUGAAAGCUUGUAUGAAGGGUUGGACGAGGUAAAAUCUGUCUCUAUUUAAAUUAUUAUAAAAUUUAAUUUUUAAGUUAAAAAGCUUAAAUAAAUUUAAAAGACGAGAAGACCCUAUAGAUCUUUAUAUAAAUAUUAAUAGUAUUAAUUAAGAAUAUUUAAUUUAUUAUUAAUAUUUAUAUUUUAUUGGGGUAAUAAAAAGAUUUAAUAAAUUCUUUUUUUAUAUAAACAUUAAUUUAUGAAUAUAUGAUCCAAUAUUUUUGAUUAUAAGAUUAAGUUACCUUAGGGAUAACAGCGUAAUUUUUUUAGAGAGUUCAUAUCGAUAAAAAAGUUUGCGACCUCGAUGUUGGAUUAAAAAUUAUCUUAGGUGCAGAAGUUUAAGAUUUUGGUCUGUUCGACCAUUAAAUUUUU